rnacentral:pre_miRNA from 1 species
ACAAACAUUGGAUUUCUAUCCGUCUUAUAUGAAAGUUUUUUAUAAUUAGUAUUUUUAUUAUUGUUAGAUGAUAAAACAUGAUUAAUACUUUAUACGUGACUUGUCUUUUUAAUUUUUUUCAUAUUUUUUUUCAAAUAAAACGGACGGUCAAACGUUGGACACGGAAACCCAGGGUU